CAGAAAAUAGUUUAUUAAAAAUUUUAAUUUUGGAGAUUAAAGAUAGAAAGAUUUUUUUUUUCUGA
rnacentral:tRNA from 1 species